AUUGAACGCUGGCGGCAGGCCUAACACAUGCAAGUCGAGCGGUAACAGGGGAAGCUUGCUUCUCGCUGACGAGCGGCGGACGGGUGAGUAAUGUAUGGGGAUCUGCCCGAUAGAGGGGGAUAACUACUGGAAACGGUAGCUAAUACCGCAUAAUCUCUCAGGAGCAAAGCAGGGGAACUUCGGUCCUUGCGCUAUCGGAUGAACCCAUAUGGGAUUAGCUAGUAGGUGAGGUAAUGGCUCACCUAGGCGACGGUCCCUAGCUGGUCUGAGAGGAUCUUCACGCACAAGGGGACUGAGACACGGCCCAGACUCCGACGGGAGGCAGCAGUGGGGAAUAUUGCACAAUGCGCGCAAGCCUGCUGCAGCCAUGCCGCGUGUAUGAAGAAGGCCCUAGGGUUGUAAAGUACUUUCAGUCGGGAGGAAGGCGUUGAUGCUAAUAUCAUCAACGAUUGACGUUACCGACAGAAGAAGCACCGGCUAACUCCGUGCCAGCAGCCGCGGUAA
rnacentral:rRNA from 1 species